rnacentral:lncRNA from 1 species
CCGCCACGGUAAGCACCGAGUGUCAGACAAACAAAUGAGACAGCCAUAAAAAGCUGACACAGGCCGGGCCAUAAGUGAAAGGCCCAGGCGAAGCCAGAACUUCGCAAAUCUCAAGCAAGCAAGCAAGCAGGGCCCAGGCCAUAACCCAGGAGAGGGGGCUUGCGUAUCAAGAAAUCACCCAUCAGCGUUGGGUUAAAGGAAAGCAUACUGAACAGAAAAUCAGGUCUGCAGAUAACACAGAAAUAUGAUAAGUCUGGUUUCAAGUAGCCAGAUGCAGCCAUGGUACCAGAGCCAACUUUGUUUUCGUUCCAUUUCUGCCCCAAAUUCCUCAAAUAGCAAGCCUAGAACAGGCUAUGCAUUGGGUCUUGCACUCAGACAAUGCUAGAGGUGUAUUGGUUUGGGGCAACAGUACUUGACUUGCAUAGGUUAAACCUAAAAAUAAGAGUCAGUACAAUUAUGGUGGACUCCCAUAGGUUAGUAUUUGUUUGAUAUUGGUUUGGACACCUCUACAAACAUUAGCAUUUGGAAAAAUGAGAAACCUCAAAUAGCUUUGCAUAGACCUUUUAUUACCCAUGUGGACGGUAGGCCACAUUUAGCAUUUGUCUUCAUACUGUUUUAUUAUGAAUUGAUAUAGUGUACUGUCCUAAUCAGAAGAUAUCCCCUCUCCCCUAACAAUAGUAUUUUGGUUUAAAAGAUUAUUUACUUAAAUAUUUUUUUAUUUACUCUUUUACAGCUGAAGUUAUAAGGGAUUUGCAGAAGAUUAAACCAACAAUGUGGCAGUGGAAUAACCGUGGACUAGAAUAGGUGAAUCCAUCAGAGUGCAUACUGAUCUUGAGAAUUAGUAGUUUUGCAUGAGAUGAAGCCUACUAAUAUUACUUACUGGAACAGCAAUGGACUUGAGUAGAUGUAAGCUAAAAAUGUUACUUGGAUCAAGAACAAUGGGCUUGCAAAGGUGUGAAGCCUAAACCUGUUAACGUGGUUUAGAGGGGAAUGAGAGAAUGCACAGUGUUAGUACAUGGGUGUUUCAUGACUAAUGUUGCUCAGGACUUCAAGGUGAAAGACCACCACCACAUUGUCUUGAUACAGAGGUACAUCAUUAUGGUGCAUAUAAAGCUUGAAAUAUCCUCGAUUAGAAGAAAGUGCAUUCCAGCGAACUUCAGUAAAUACAUCCACAUUUGAUAACGUUACUAAUAAAGUUAUCCUUUGAAA